rnacentral:rRNA from 1 species
GAUGAACGCUGGCGGCGUGCCUAAUACAUGCAAGUCGAGCGAACGGACGAGAAGCUUGCUUCUCUGAUGUUAGCGGCGGACGGGUGAGUAACACGUGGAUAACCUACCUAUAAGACUGGGAUAACUUCGGGAAACCGUAGCUAAUACCGGAUAAUAUUUUGAACCGCAUGGUUCAAAAGUGAAAGACGGUCUUGCUGUCACUUAUAGAUGGAUCCGCGCUGCAUUAGCUAGUUGGUAAGGUAACGGCUUACCAAGGCAACGAUGCAUAGCCGACCUGAGAGGGUGAUCGGCCACACUGGAACUGAGACACGGUCCAGACUCCUACGGGAGGCAGCAGUAGGGAAUCUUCCGCAAUGGGCGAAAGCCUGACGGAGCAACGCCGCGUGAGUGAUGAAGGUCUACGGAUCGUAAAACUCUGUUAGUAGGGAAGAACAUAUGUGUAAGUAACUGUGCACAUCUUGACGGUACCUAAUCAGAAAGCCACGGCUAACUACGUG